GGGGAGUCAAGAGUCGCGGGAGGACGAGCAUCGGAGGAGAAGCGGAGAGAUGUCCACCCUGGGCUGGUGGCGCCGCUGGGCGCCCGGUUCAGUGUGGGUGCACUAGACUGCCGACCCUGGUCGGGGUGUGUGCGCAGAGUGCGGUGCUCCGGGGAGUGCUACCUUCUUGAUCUUCUAUCCUUCUUGGAGACAACUGGCAAGAGGAAGACUAACUAGGUCCUCCAACAGCUAGGUGGCUGGUCCAGGUGAGUGAUGCUCACACCUCAGAGCACCACACCCAUCUCUGAAAUUUCCACUUCUCUUCCUCACACUGACAUUUUCCUGAUGUACAUAUAUGCCACACAACUACAAGAACAUUGGCACUUUCUGAGAAUACACAUACCUGUCUGGUGGGUAAUGAACUUGCUAGGAUGUCCCCCCUUAGCCUUAUUCCACCUUUUCCAGUCUCCUAUCUUUCCCCUG
rnacentral:lncRNA from 1 species